UUAAGCGGCAUUUUUUCUCAAUACUAAGCGUCUUCUCAAACAUUCUUUUCAUCAGCAUCAUUCAAAAACCCUAAUUAUCAGUCAUUCCUUUUAUCAAUCCACCGCCGCAUGCCACUCUAUUUCACCAUAAAACUGACGAUUCAAAAGGGAUUCUUCAAUCUUUACAAGAGUACCAGAAACCCUAAUUUUUUGUUGGUUAAGUUUUCUUGUGAACCAUUUUUCAUCUUCAACGCAUCCACGUCGGCGUUGUUGUUAGGGUUCUGUGACAGAUGGUGUUGGUGAGUUGGAUUAGAAAGAAGUCGAGAAACAGAGCAGUUAAUUGAUUUGAAUGGUUCAGUUUUGCAGAAAAUUGCUAAAAGUGGAGGGUACUGAUGAAGUUCAGGUGGACCGACCACUAGAACUCUUCGCUUUUGAUUGCAAGCAACAAGGGAAGUUUUUUUCUUUUGAUGUUUUGUGUUCCAUACCUGGAUAAUCUUGAAUUAAUAAACAAAGAAAAUGUUUUCAUGUUUUUCCGAUUAUGAUUCUGAAAUCGCAGUUCGUGUUUCAAUAUCACCAUUCAUCCUUAUUCAGCCAUAUCCAAACCCUAAUUCUCAUCUAGGCCUCGCUUUGAAGCUUCUAAUAUUUCAAUCAUUGGUUAAUCGCUGCUUCAUCUCCUAUUUUUUGGUUAUUCCUUUUCUAAUCGAUUAAGAACAACAUCACAAAGCCUACAAGACGAAUGAUUAGAAGAGAAGAAAGAUAUGCGAAGAUUUGAAAAUGGAAACUAAUUCACGGUUGUGUCACCCCAAAAAAUGAGCGCUCAAUUUGCUAGCUCCAACCUGUCCGUUUCCAAUCUGUCUAUCAUGGUGAUUAAGAUUGUAUAUUUCAUCGCUUCUCUGGUCCUGAAAAGUCUGUAAAUUAAAGGUAAUUUUGAUUGAUUUUCGAUAUGGAUUGUGUAUAUUUCUGUGAUUUACAGUUUAGAGAAGAAGAUGUUGGAUUGUGGAUUGCAGGUACAUCUUCUGUUUGUUGUAAUCAGUUAAUAUAAAUUUGAAUGAACUUCUGUUUCUUUUCAUCUAAAAUCAAACCCUGAAACAAAUUAUCACCGAAUAAUAUUGGUUGGAUGAGAAUUUGCUCCUGUGGUCGGAUUGAACAAUUCCUUUUACAAACCCCGCUCAAACCCUAAAAAACUAUAACGCCGCACAUUGCAUCUUCUUCAAUCCAUCUCUUCAAUACUCUUAUUUGAUUUUCGGCUGUAAGUAAUAAGCCUCUUAAUCUUCCAAAUAGCCAUUGGCAACCACAUAGCCAACAUUGUCCAUGAAAUCAGGCCUAAGAAGAUAUGAAAUCUUAGCCAACAUCUGAUAACUUUUUGACGAGUUAGGGUUUUUCAAUACCCCGUAAGUAGAGAAGAAGAUCAAGGUUAGUAUAUGCUUCCGUAUGUUUGAUUCUAAGCAUGGCCCUUCCUGAUUGUUGUAUCUCAUAUCGAUUUAAGGUAUCUACAUGUGUCUAAAUUUCGAUUUAAAUACCGAUUUUCCUCUAUUUUUUUCAGCAUCAAUCUCUUCGCAGAUUGGGUAUCAUGUUUCAGGUUAGGGUUUUUGAAAAUCUUGAUUAAUACAUGUUAAGUUGCUGUUGUGGUAGUAUUUCCCCUUGGGGUAGUAUAUUUCAUUAUAACAGGGGACAUAUAAUGUUUUCAACUUAGUUUGUAACCAUUCGGUUACCUCAGAUUACAGAUACUGGUUGUAAGGGUUUAAAUAUCUUUUCAACUUAUUAUGAACAAAUCUGAUGAUUUUGCUUCUGUUGUAGUUUAUGUUUAUAUUCGGUUUCCAGUGGUGCUUUUUUUUUUGGGCUCUAAUGCCGGCGAAGCAACUGGCGCCCUCAGCAGGUAUGGUUGCAUAUAAGAAAUGAAAUUGGCCUUGGUGAUUUUGUAGUACAUAAAUUAAGUGAAGCUCUAUAUCAAGUUGUGUUUUUUAAGAUAUUUAAUUUGUCCAUUUUGUGCAAAAUCUUACUAUUCACUUCAUCACAUAUAUUACUUAACUAUGAUUAGAAUAGUUAAUUAAGAUAUUCAUGUCGAUGAUGGCUAUUGAAGAAACCCUAGAUGAUGGCGAUUGAACAAGCCGAACAACCCAGGUCCAAUGGGGAUCUAGCUUCUUCUGCUAUUCAGUGGAUGUCAAGUUGUUAAAACAGAAGUUUGGGUUUGCUGGUGUCUGUCUUAUUAGUCAAAGGUUGUUGCUCCGAGGUAUGUGUGUAUUGGUCAGACUGGUUUAAAGGCAUCCAGUUGUUUGGGGACACUGCCAAAGUCACAUUCACGGCAUGUUUUCUUUCGCUAGAUCAAAUUUAGGAUGAUAUAUUUGGAGAAUCUUCACCUAGAGCAUGUGAAACAAAUAAGAGAUCAAAUGACAUGACCUCUAAUGAUAUAUUCGGACAAUCAUCGGCUGGAGUCCGAAAAUCAAUUUACUUUGUUUUGGGUCAUCAGAUUCACUUUCGUUCGUUAGGCGAUGAUGAUGUUAUAGUUGUGGCAUGGUAAAUGUGAUGGCUUGAAACAGGCAACCAAUAAAUUUGCGACUUGUGGAAAGGAUUCAAAUCUAUGUACCCCGCCGCUGGCGUCGCAACAUCACAUUGCUAUAGGAGCAAAAACUAUUUUGCUUUAACCCGCGUCUUCAUCUUACCCGUAUUGAUGACAUUCCUUAUUCCCCCCCCCUUUUCUUUCAUCAUUCUCACAAGAAACUCUAAUCAGUGCCUCACAAUUUUUCAAUCGAUCGCAAGAUGGUUAACAUUCUUGGACAGGGUACUAUCUUAGAUGCACUUCCAUAAUCGAAUCCCUCUUUUGAAUGGUAUGCAAUUACGACGUCUUCCUCAAGUUCUAAGUACGUAUUUGAUGAAAAUGAAAUGAAAUUGACGGUUUUUGACAUGACGAAAGGAUCGAGUUUUGAAGCAUCUUCAAGGUAAGAGUAAGACUCUAUCCCAAGUUGUCAAUGUCACACCCCAACCGAUGGCGGAAACAUCAGGGCGCGACACUGAGCGAAACAGAUUGUCCAGAAGUUUCCAUAACAACUAUAAUUACCAAAUAUUUAAAGCAACAUGUCCCAUACUAUGUCAUAUAGGAUAAUACAAUUAUUACAGAAAAGAUCUAGGCAAAUUGUUUUGUUCCGACAACUCAGAUUUUUAUUACAGACAACUGUUUAUUGUUU